rfam:Schistosoma mattheei strain Denwood, Zambia genome assembly, scaffold: SMTD_contig0001029
AGUUUCCCGAAUCCAUGCUGAGAUUUCGUCAGACACCAAACCAUUACGACUGGUCAGACUUCCAAGAUAAGUGAAGUU